rnacentral:rRNA from 1 species
AGUGAACGCUGGCGGUAGGCCUAACACAUGCAAGUCGAACGGCAGCACAGGAGAGCUUGCUCUCUGGGUGGCGAGUGGCGGACGGGUGAGGAAUACAUCGGAAUCUACUCUGUCGUGGGGGAUAACGUAGGGAAACUUACGCUAAUACCGCAUACGACCUACGGGUGAAAGUAGGGGACCUUCGGGCCUUGCGCGAUUGAAUGAGCCGAUGUCGGAUUAGCUAGUUGGCGGGGUAAAGGCCCACCAAGGCGACGAUCCGUAGCUGGGCUGAGAGGAUUAUCAACCACACUGGAACUGAGACACGGUCCAGACUCCUACUGGAGGCAGCAGUGGGGAAUAUUGUACAAUGGGCGCAAGCCUGAUCCAGCCAUACCGCGUGGGUGAAGAAGGCCUUCGGGUUGUAAAGCCCUUUUGUUGGGAAAGAAAUCCAGCUGGCUAAUACCCGGUUGGGAUGACGGUACCCAAAGAAUAAGCACCGGCUAACUUCGUGCCAGCCGCCGCAGUAA